CUAAAUCCCCAAAUCUACCGAACCAAACCGCCACCACCGCCCUAGCAAAAGCAAUCAUCAAUUUUCAUUGUCAAGUAACGUGUAACCUUGAUUUCUUUGCCAUCUGGUAGAAUCAGAAAAGCCGUGUACUCAUCAACUUCUCAAAUCCUCAUGUUUAAUUAAUAUAUAAUCCCCCAAAAACAAUGAUAAAAAUGAUGGAUUUCUGUGGAUCGGAUACACAUGGGAUGCUCUGGAAAAGCCACCGCACAACAACAAACCCUAUUCACAUCCAGAAACGUCAUCAACAAGAAAUUGCAAGGAAAAGCACUUAAGCCCAAGUUUCAAUCCACUCCACCCAGAAUCAGAGCCUCAUGGACCUACCUGAGGAUAUCAUCGCUGACAUUCUUCGACGACUUCCGGUCAAAACUUUGGUCCGAUUCCGUUGCGUUUCCAAAUCAUGGCGGUCUCUGAUUGCCGAUCCGACCUUCGUUCGGACCCAUCUCUCCAGGCUGAUCAAAUCCCAUAUCGCCUUUGGAACCGCGUCUCGUAUCGUCCUCUCCCGUUACGCCGAUCGCCUUUUGUCCCUCCAACACCAUUUAAACGACGAAGGUGUUGCAGUCGCAGAGGAGUUGGGACUGGAUCUAGUCAAGGAUUUGCCUUACUACGUCAAGGGUCACUGUGAUGGGUUAAUCUGUUUGGUCAUCAACAAUGGCGACAAGGGUCUCCUCGUCCUUUAUAAUCCGUCGAUCCGUGUGCACAGGAAGCUUCCUAUUCCUCGCAACUAUCGCAGCACAAGGGAAGUGUUCGGGAUCGGCUACGAUCCAACUAUCAACGAUUAUAAGAUUGUUAGGGUUCCGUCUAUGUAUUGCCGGAUGAAAGUCAAAGACUACGUUCCUCGGGUGGAGAUCUUCACGCUGAAAUCGAAUACAUGGCGGGCACUUCCUGAUGAAGAGACUCCUCCUUAUUUCGUCGAGCAUGUGUUUCAGGCCACGAAUGCAAAUGGAGGAAUUUACUGGCUCUGUGAGGACAGAGAUGCUUCGAGAUGUGUGAUUCUGCGAUUUGAUUUGGUUCAAGAGAAGUUCAGCGUGGUUCCUGCAGCACCUGAUGAGUUCCAUUGGAGUAUAACCUGGUUGGGUUCUCUGAAAGAUUCGCUUUCUGUGAUCCAUUCCCAGAGAACCAGUCAUAUCCAUAUAUGGUCCACCAAGGAUGACAAAAACUGGACGAAGCUAUUCUCAAUUCCGAAGCUUCAGGGAUUGAAUCCUUCUGUUUACAGCUUCAGGUAUACCCCCUUGUGCUACACCGAGACCGGUGCCUUGCUGAUGAAUAUUAGAGGAGAGGGAUUUAUGAUGUAUGAUCCCAGAGAUAAUAGUUUCCGGCAGGUUGAGGUCAGAGGGGUUGAGCACCAUUUGCAGGAGACUGUGUAUUGUGAAAGUCUGGUAUCACCCUCUUUGGGAAAUGGGGAUGAAAAUGAGGCCUCCGGCCGGGAAGAUCGGAGAUCUCGCCUGGCCGACACCACCGCCCGCGGAAUCCGGCUACUGGUUCUUGGUUUCAAGCGUGGCAUGUCAUUUAAUGGCGGUGGCAGGAGUGGAAGAAGGUAGAAAAAGCUCGUUUAUCAUGCAGAUAUAAUCCAUUGGUUGCUAAAUUUUGAAACACCAGUAUGCCCAUGAAUACAUGUAAAAUUUGAAGCACCAGCGGAUUGUAGUUCAAUUGGUCAGAGCACCUCCCUGUCAAGGCGGAAGCUGCGGGUUCGAGCCCCUCAUGGAACUUAGUAUAUCUAUCAUCCAAGAGACGGACCCUCUACUCGUGUUUCUGGAAAGAUUCAUAGAACAAGCAUGAUGUAUCCAGCUCCCUAUUGUGCCACUUCCACAAAUUCAAACGAUGCAGAUUCCAUAGGAUGGGAUGAGCAUGACGAGGAAGCUAUGCCAUCUGGUUCACCAGACCAGGAAACGUAUAGAACAGGCGACCGGUGCUUGCUGAUGAAUGUGACAGGAAAUGGAUUUGUGAUGUACAAGCUGGGUGAGAAAAUGUUGUCCCUGUGACUCGAAGUCAAAAGGACGACGGGUCCGGCCCCAUGAUGAUGAUCCGCAUUAGCCUAUAUUGUGAUAGUUUGGUAUCACCCAAUUGCAGAAAUCCCGAGACCAACGUGCCAAAACAGAAAAUAAUCUGGUUUUUUUAUUUGUUUUUUUUUUUUUUUUUUUUGUGAAAUAAAGAGAAGAAAUUGUUGCAAGUAAAUGCUUUUACAUUUUUAUUUCUUGUGCAAUUGUUAGGAUGAGUUUUCUUCUAUCAGACUUGUGACUUGUAGGCAUAAACACUGAUGAAAAUAUCAAUAUCAAUAUCAAUGGAAUGAUUUUAUGGAAACAUGGAUGUAAAUAUCCAUCAUAUUAUUGAUA